AACGAACGCUGGCGGCAGGCUUAACACAUGCAAGUCGAACGCACUCUUCGGAGUGAGUGGCGCACGGGUGAGCAACGCGUGGGAACAUACCCUGUAGUACGGGAUAGCUCCGGGAAACUGGAAUUAAUACCGCAUACGCCCUUAGGGGGAAAGAUUUAUCGCUAUAGGAUUGGCCCGCGUGACAUUAGCUAGUUGGUGAGGUAACGGCUCACCAAGGCGACGAUGUCUAGCUGGUCUGAGAGGAUGAUCAGCCACACUGGGACUGAGACACGGCCCAGACUCCUACGGGAGGCAGCAGUGAGGAAUAUUGGACAAUGGGGGAAACCCUGAUCCAGCCAUGCCGCGUGUGUGAAGAAGGCCUUAUGGUUGUAAAGCACUUUAAGCGAGGAGGAGGCUCUUUUGGUUAAUACCCAAGAUGAGUGGACGUUACUCGCAGAAUAAGCACCGGCUAACUCUGUGCCAGCCGCCGCAGUAACAC
rnacentral:rRNA from 1 species